rnacentral:rRNA from 1 species
UACGUAGGGGGCAAGCGUUAUCCGGAAUCACUGGGUGUAAAGGGUGCGUAGGCGGUUAUGUAAGUCAGAUGUGAAAUACCGAAGCUCAACUUCGGGGCUGCAUUUGAAACUGUGUGACUAGAGUACAGGAGAGGUAUGUGGAAUUCCUAGUGUAGCGGUGAAAUGCGUAGAGAUUAGGAAGAACACCAGUGGCGAAGGCGACUUACUGGACUGUAACUGACGCUGAGGCAUGAAAGCGUGGGUAGCAAAC